GAUAAUAUAUUUGAGAGGCAUCUCUUGAAUAUCAAAGGUGAGCCAGUACAGGAUGGACCCGCGUCUGAUUAGCUAGUUGGUAAGGUAACGGCUUACCAAGGCAACGAUCAGUAGCCGACCUGAGAGGGUGAUCGGCCACAUUGGAACUGAGACACGGUCCAAACUCCUACGGGAGGCAGCAGUGGGGAAUAUUGCACAAUGGGCG
rnacentral:rRNA from 1 species